CAGUAUCCGCGGGAAUACGGAGGGUGCAAGCGUUAAUCGGAAUUACUGGGCGUAAAGCGCACGCAGGCGGUCUGACAAGUCAGAUGUGAAAUCCCCGGGCUUAACCUGGGAACUGCAUUUGAAACUGUCAGGCUGGAGUCUUGUAGAGGGGGGUGGAAUUCCAGGUGUAGCGGUGAAAUGCGUAGAGAUCUGGAGGAAUACCGGUGGCGAAGGCGGCCCCCUGGACAAAGACUGACGCUCAGGUGCGAAAGCGUGGGGAGCAAACAGGAUUAGAUACCCGGGUAGUCCCUGUCUCUUAUAC
rnacentral:rRNA from 1 species